rnacentral:tRNA from 1 species
GGUGCGGUAGUUCAGUAGGUAGAAUACCGGCCUGUCACGCUGGGGGUCGCGGGUUCGAGUCCCGUCCGCACCG